ACCGACAUUAAUGAUUCAUUCUGCGAACCAUGGCCCACAGCUAAAUAAGAGUGCAUACCCAACUCUUUCAUCUGCUGUUCACCGAUAACGCGAGUGAUGAUAUUGGUGCUGAACGCAUCCGCCAGUUGGCGAGCCUGAGACGCCAGAUAUGCGGCGUUACAGAUGUUUGGCGGCAUAUUGCCUAAGUCUUUGG
rnacentral:antisense_RNA from 1 species